GCCUACUCACCAUCUGGUCAGGGGAGAGCAGUCCCCGCUGGAUCAUUCCUCGGAAGGAAUACAACGGGAGGCUGUCUGUUUCUGAUGGGGAGUCUCUGAAGAUCAUGAAUCUGACUUGUGAAGACAACGGAUAUUAUGAAGCUCAUAUCAUAUCAGUCUCAGGAGAGAUAUAUAUUGAAAAGUUCAAUUUAACUGUCCUUGGCACUGUGACUAUAGAGUCUAACACAAAUCCAUGGAUUUGGUUGUCCCUGCUUGGCAUCCCGAUGUUCCUGGUGGCAGUUUGGUGUUUUCCUCAUAAAGUAAAGAGUUUCCCUUGCAAAAUCAGAGGCAUUCUCACGAAAGGAAACAUACAAGCAGUAGUGUAUCACGGGAAUGAGAGAAGACUAGAGGAGGGCUUGACAACUUGACCAAAUGACUUCCAUUCAGAUCAAAAAACACACUGAAGACACCUAUGAAGAGCCUUGCCAACUGCAAACACAAGAUCAUGGAAUUAUGCUGGGCAGAGUCUGCAUGCCACAGGAGACCAGCUGAGAGCAACAUGGACAAGAGCAACCCAACAAAUAUCGACCAACAAAGACAUUGUCCAUCCUAAAGUCUUAGAGGCUUGCACUGAUUUUUCCAGACCUGUGCCCUGGGCACAGAUUACCACAAGUGUGGCCUACACGUGUCCAUGCUUCCCUUUGAUGGGGUAUAU